CCUACGGGAGGCAGCAGUGGGGAAUAUUGCACAAUGGGGGAAACCCUGAUGCAGCGACGCCGCGUGAGUGAAGAAGUAUUUCGGUAUGUAAAGCCCUAUCAGCAGGGAAGAAAAUGACGGUACCUGAUUAAGAAGCGCCGGCUAACGACGUGCCAGCAGCCGCGGAAAUACGUAGGGGGCACGCGGUAUCCGGAUUGACUGGGGGUAAAGGGAGCGUUGACGGCAGCACAAGGCUGGUGGGAAAUGCCGGGGCUUAACCCCGGAACUGCUUUGGAAACUGUGCAGCUAGAGUGCAGGAGAGGUAAGUGGAAUGCGUAGUGUAGCGGUGAAAUGCGUAGAUAUUAGGCGGAACACCAGUGGCGAAGGCGGCUUACUGGACUGUAACUGACGUUGAGGCUCGAAAGCGUGGGGAGCAAACAGGAUUAGAUACCCGUGUAGUC
rnacentral:rRNA from 1 species